UGGUAAAAGAAGAUUUUUUAAAUUUAUAAACAUUGAAUCGAUGUGAUACUACAGUCAUCAAUCUAUGGGUUUUUAAACCUGAGCAAGGGAUCGCGCGCGCGUGUGCUUGUGUGUGAGUGUGUCUGUAUCGAAAAUACGUCUUAAAAUUAUCAAAUCGUUUGUUCUUGAAUCUAAUUGACUGUCUUGUCGGACAUUGAAGUAAGUAUUUACAGUUACUUGUCUUAUGUGAAGGAUCAGCCCAAUGCUUUUAUUUUGAAUUAAUGGAGGUCGCAAAAUUAUGUGUUUAGUGAUUAUACACGGUGAAUUACUUUUCUCUUUCUCUUUUUUUUUUUUCGCAAGACAAAUAAUUUGUCUUGUCUUAUACGCAACCCAGCCCCAAUUUGGGUAUUGAAUGAAUAGAACACAUCCUGUGCAGGUUACUUGUCUUAUGUGAAGGAGCUGUUCAAUGCUUUUAUCUUGAAUUGAUGGAGGCCGGAAAUUAUGUAUUUAAUGAUUAUACAUGGUGAAUUGCUUUUGCUGUCUUACUUCCUGUAAGACAAAAAUUGUUUUGUCUUAUACGAAACCCAGCCCAAUCUGUGUAUUGAAUGAAUAGUACACAUCCUGCGCUGAAAAUUGUGUGAUGUCAAUUACAUAAUUAACGUUUUUGUACUUGGUUAAUGAUUUCUUCCUGUUUACCUUUUUAUCAGAAAACUGGCUGUAAUUGCUAUAUUGUUGGUGACUUCCUGAAAAAAAGAUUUGUCGGGUGUGGUUAUGUUUUUUGUAGGCGCGGCUUAAACGAGUUGUCUAUAGACACAGGACUAUAUAAUCGCACAUUUUCUUGCAUCGAGUAAUACCGACUGGCGUGCGAGGCACCUUGCAUCACGUUAGAGAGAGAGAGAGAGAGAGAGAGAGAAAGAGACGACCCAGCAAUGUUGGUUCAAGCGACAACGGUGAUCAACAGCUCAGACACUGAGAUUUUGACAUCAACGCUAGGACUUCCUGAACAGUUGAACGAAUCUGAUGAAGAAGGACUUCCUGAACUGUUGAACGAAUCUGAUGAAGAAGGACUUCCUGAACUGUUGAACGAAUCUGAUGAAGAAGGACUUCCUGAACAGUUGAACGAAUCUGAUGAAGAAGGACUUCCUGAACUGUUGAACGAAUCUGAUGAAGAAGGACUUCCUGAACUGUUGAACGAAUCUGAUGAGGAUUAACAAUACAGUAAUCAGCCUUUCAACACAACUUUGUAUCCCUGUAUUCCAAAGAAAUUAUACCGUAUACACUCGACUGGACAUUCUGUGGUCGAGGUUGACAACUUUGAAGACAUCAGGACUUACCGCGGGAUUGCAAAGUGUUUGGUACUGCCACCACAAGAUUUGACAAAUCCUAUUUUGUCAUAUAUGGUAGGAUAUGAACUGAUGUACCCAUUGUGUCAUACGUGUUCAAUUAAUGGACAAACCAUAUGUAACCAUAACGAUGACGAGCGAUCACUUUUUGGUGAAUGGCUAACUGCAGAGCUGAUAGAAGCUAUAAAGGUGGGAUACAAAGUCAUCAAAAUCUAUGAAGUCCAUCACUUUGAAAGUAGUCCAGAUAAGUUGUUCAGAGAGUACAUUGACACAUUUCUUAAAAUCAAGCAGGAAAGCCGCGGCUGUCCCGAAUGGGUUACUAGCACGUCUGUAGAAGAGGGUUUAGAUGAUAAUGAUACUAUGAGUAACGAGGUCAAAUAUUUUGAUGUACACAAAAUGUAUCCCUAUACAUGUUAUGAACCAAAGCAGGAAAGGAGUGACAGGACCGAUGAGAAGAACCCAGGUCUGCAUGCGUUAGCAAAGCUCUUCCUUAACUCUUUCUUUGGCAAGUUUAGCCGGGGAAACAACAUUGCAUAAUCUGAGUAUGUCAUAUUGACACAAACAUUAAGUAAAAAAAGGAUACUAUUAGGUUAAUGUACAACCAAGUGUAUAAUCCUAAACGACUACACUAUAUCUAUGAAGUUAAGCAGAAUUGUCAAUUGAGUCUAUUGAAAACAGUUUUAACUUUGUCUUGAUCAUACAUGGUUUGAAGACAAAUGUACUUGUAUUGUAGACAAUAUUUUUGCACAAAUGGUUGAUAACAUUUCAUUGUGUAUCAAACAUAAGCAUGUAACAAUUGCAUGUCACCCUACAUGUAGAUAUCUAAACUAUGGUCAUAAAUGAGUGGUUCUGAAUACUUUUUAAAUCCUGCUUUGAUCAUAAGUGCGUUUGAAAAACAUCGUUGUAUUUUGUAAAUAUUGUCUAUCACUGACACUGUGAUUUCUAAUUGUUUGAUGAGUGGGUCUGAAUACUUUGACAUCCUGCUUUGACCAUAAGUGUGUUUGAAAAAACAUCGUUGUCUUGAGUACACAUUGUCUAACACUGUGUUUUGUAAUUGUUUGAUUAAUUGGUUGUGUGUAAUGAAAACAAUCACGUAUGUGCUUCGAAGAUCAUUGUGAAAAUACGUAGUUGAUAACGAUGUACUACAUGAUUGCGCAUAGAAUAAAGUUGAUCAAAUCAUAUAUGAAUUAUGUUGGUGAUGAUGGUCUCACGUUUAUUUCAUCUAUUUGACAUAGGCAGAAUGAUUGUAUUUGUCUAGAGCAUAAACAGAGUCAUUGUGAUAAGUAGGCAUGUCUGGGCAAAACCUAAUCUUGCAUGCAAGGUCUGUUAGUAACGCCGUCCUGUUGGUUGAUUUUUAACGAGUCCUUAUUUGGAAUGGGGAUGUAGUCUGAGAACAGUGAAUGAAGACAUUGGGGAGCAUAGUGCCACAUACAGACAUCAUUAGGUAGUGUGUUACAUCAGUAGUGUGUAUAUGUUUAUGUUUAUUUUCUUAAUACAGGUAUGUAUUUACCAGAUAUUGAUAAAUCUAUAUUUAAGUUACAUGUACACUUUUUCUGGAUACAAAAGCAUCGAAUAAAUGUCGACAACGAGAA